GAUGAACGCUGGCGGCGUGCUUAACACAUGCAAGUCGAACGGGAUCGGCUGGAGCUUGCUCCGGCCGUGAGAGUGGCGAACGGGUGAGUAAUGCGUGACCGACCUGCCCCAUACACCGGAAUAGCUCCUGGAAACGGGUGGUAAUGCCGGAUGCUCCGACAUGACGCAUGUCGUGUUGGGAAAGAUUCAUCGGUAUGGGAUGGGGUCGCGUCCUAUCAGGUAGUCGGCGGGGUAACGGCCCACCGAGCCUACGACGGGUAGCCGGCCUGAGAGGGCGACCGGCCACAUUGGGACUGAGAUACGGCCCAGACUCCUACGGGAGGCAGCAGUGGGGAAUAUUGCACAAUGGGCGCAAGCCUGAUGCAGCGACGCCGCGUGCGGGAUGACGGCCUUCGGGUUGUAAACCGCUUUUGACUGGGAGCAAGCCCU
rnacentral:rRNA from 1 species